CCGUGUCAUCCCUGCUGCAUUUCUGAUAGUGAUUCCUUGCAAAGCCGGUGGGAUACCCGCAGCUGCCUGGAGUGUCAGACCAGCAUUUGCCAUCUUGCAGGCUCAGGGUGUAAGGUGUUAAAAAGCAAUAUGCCACAGGGCAGUGUCAGUGGGGUGUUGUGGAAGCACAUGACUGUGAAAAGCAGGAGAGAAGAAACAGCAGUAAAAGCAUGGCCUUUCAGCAGCCAACUCUGCUUUUGACCUGCAGCAUCACAUCAAAUUCAAGCCAUUAUCUGGAAGAGUGAAUCGUGCCAUUCCAAGAUGUGGAUAUCCAGGAGAUGGCAAGAGGGAAAGGAGCGCUUGCAGAAGGAGCAGACGUUCCUGUGCAGUGUGUUGUAGUGGUGCUCGUAGCCUUCCAGGGUGUCAAAGACCUGGCAGCACCCAGGGAUGUGGCAGCUGAAUUCAGACACUCUGCAGGGAAAUGACAGCGUGUGCGCCUUAAAUGAAAGCCUUAAUUUAAGCUGCAUGUAUCCCUCCAGUGACUACAUUUGCUUGUGGCAUCUUUUGUGAAUAACACUUAAACACAAGGUGUAAUGGAAUGAAGAUUAUAAUGGUGCUGGCGGCUGGAAACUCUAUUUGCUGUUAUGGCUUCAGCAUCACAUAUAUUAUCACCCU